AGAGUUUGAUUAUGGCUCAGAUGGAACGCGGGCGCAGCCUUAACACAUGCAAGUCGAACGGUAACAGGAAGCAGCUUGCUGCUUUGCUGACGAGUGGCGGACGGGUGAGUAAUGUCUGGGAAACUGCUGAUGGAGGGGGAUAACUACUGGAAACGGUAGCUAAUACCGCAUAACGUCGCAAGACCAAAGAGGGGGACCUUCGGGCCUCUUGCCAUCGGAUGUGCCCAGAUGGGAUUAGCUAGUAGGUGGGGUAACGGCUCACCUAGGCGACGAUCCCUAGCUGGUCUGAGAGGAUGACCAGCCACACUGGAACUGAGACACGGUCCAGACUCCUACGGGAGGCAGCAGUGGGGAAUAUUGCACAAUGGGCGCAAGCCUGAUGCAGCCAUGCCGCGUGUAUGAAGAAGGCCUUCGGGUUGUAAAGUACUUUCAGCGGGGAGGAAGGGAGUAAAGUUAAUACCUUUGCUCAUUGACGUUACCCGCAGAAGAAGCACCGGCUAACUCCGUGCCAGCAGCCGCGGUAAUACGGAGGGUGCAAGCGUUAAUCGGAAUUACUGGGCGUAAAGCGCACGCAGGCGGUUUGUUAAGUCAGAUGUGAAAUCCCCGGGCUCAACCUGGGAACUGCAUCUGAUACUGGCAAGCUUGAGUCUCGUAGAGGGGGGUAGAAUUCCAGGUGUAGCGGUGAAAUGCGUAGAGAUCUGGAGGAAUACCGGUGGCGAAGGCGGCCCCCUGGACGAAGACUGACGCUCAGGUGCGAAAGCGUGGGGAGCAAACAGGAUUAGAUACCCUGGUAGUCCACGCCGUAAACGAUGUCGACUUGGAGGUUGUGCCCUUGAGGCGUGCUUCCGGAGCUAACGCGUUAAGUCGACCGCCUGGGGAGUACGGCCGCAAGGUUAAAACUCAAAUGAAUUGACGGGGGCCCGCCCAAGCGGUGGAGCAUGUGGUUUAAUUCGAUGCAACGCGAAGAACCUUACCUGGUCUUGACAUCCACGGAAGUUUUCAGAGAUGAGAAUGUGCCUUCGGGAACCGUGAGACAGGUGCUGCAUGGCUGUCGUCAGCUCGUGUUGUGAAAUGUUGGGUUAAGUCCCGCAACGAGCGCAACCCUUAUCCUUUGUUGCCAGCGGUCCGGCCGGGAACUCAAAGGAGACUGCCAGUGAUAAACUGGAGGAAGGUGGGGAUGACGUCAAGUCAUCAUGGCCCUUACGACCAGGGCUACACACGUGCUACAAUGGCGCAUACAAAGAGAAGCGACCUCGCGAGAGCAAGCGGACCUCAUAAAGUGCGUCGUAGUCCGGAUUGGAGUCUGCAACUCGACUCCAUGAAGUCGGAAUCGCUAGUAAUCGUGGAUCAGAAUGCCACGGUGAAUACGUUCCCGGGCCUUGUACACACCGCCCGUCACACCAUGGGAGUGGGUUGCAAAAGAAGUAGGUAGCUUAACCUUCGGGAGGGCGCUUACCACUUUGUGAUUCAUGACUGGGGUGAAGUCGUAACAAGGU
rnacentral:rRNA from 1 species